AUACAGAGGGUGCAAGCGUUAAUCGGAUUUACUGGGCGUAAAGCGCGCGUAGGCGGCUAAUUAAGUCAAAUGUGAAAUCCCCGAGCUUAACUUGGGAAUUGCAUUCGAUACUGGUUAUCUAGAGUGUGGGAGAGGAUGGUAGAAUUCCAGGUGUAGCGGUGAAAUGCGUAGAGAUCUGGAGGAAUACCGAUGGCGAAGGCAGCCAUCUGGCCUAACACUGACGCUGAGGUGCGAAAGCAUGGGGAGCAAACAGGAUUAGAAACCCCAGUAGUCC
rnacentral:rRNA from 1 species